UGGACAUGAAGCGGGCCGUGAGAGGGAGAAGAUGUAUAAUUUGUCACAGCUGUUCCUCUAGCUUUUUGUCACUUAAGAAGAAGGUAGUAGAAGAGAAGAGUCAAGAGUUACUGUAUCAAUUCACCCGUUUCUGGGUGAAGUAGAGCAAAAAAUUGGUUCACCCAUUUUUGGGUGAACCAGAACGAGCGGAGUAUGGUCAAUUUGCCCAUAGAUACUACAUACACACAUGGAUAUGAAACAGGAAGUCGGUAUCCAAUUAACUCUUUGAAGUUCACCUGUAAACGUCAUAAUCAGCGUAGCUCUAUCCUUGGCGCUUUUCUCUCUGUCUAUGUUUUCAAGAGUUUUCUUGAGUAACUUAUUUUUGUGAAAGAAGUCAACAGGCCUCAUGUUUACAUGACAAAAUUAGAAAACCUCCAUUUUUAUUUGUAACCACCUUUUCUAGACUCUCGAACAGAGUUAGCUAUGAGAACUGAGCAGUGAAAGAAUAGGUUAUUUACCAAGGAACACAAGCAGGAUUUCAGUGGCAUUGAUGAGACAUUAUUACAUGAUUGUAAAGCUUCAUAUUUAUGCUACCACAGAGAACUAUCAAGAUAGAGAUGAUGUACAUUACAGUAUGUACUGUAUGGUGAUACAGCAAUUAAAAUUUGUUAAAAGACUCAAUAAUAAUCAAUC